rnacentral:rRNA from 1 species
AGAGUUUGAUCCUGGCUCAGAACGAACGCUGGCGGCGCGCCUAACACAUGCAAGUCGAACGCGAAAGGGGGCAACCCUGAGUAAAGUGGCGCACGGGUGAGUAACGCGUAGGUGAUCUACCUCUGCGACCGGGAUAACCAGCCGAAAGGUUGGCUAAUACUGGAUAGAGCGCAGACCAUGUAAGGUGGUUUGCGGGAAAG